AGUGAACGCUGGCGGUAGGCCUAACACAUGCAAGUCGAACGGCAGCACAGUAAGAGCUUGCUCUUACGGGUGGCGAGUGGCGGACGGGUGAGGAAUACAUCGGAAUCUACUUUUUCGUGGGGGAUAACGUAGGGAAACUUACGCUAAUACCGCAUACGACCUACGGGUGAAAGCAGGGGAUCUUCGGACCUUGCGCGAUUGAAUGAGCCGAUGUCGGAUUAGCUAGUUGGCGGGGUAAAGGCCCACCAAGGCGACGAUCCGUAGCUGGUCUGAGAGGAUGAUUCGCCACACUGGAACUGAGAAACGGUCCCGACUCCUACGGGAGGCAGCAGUGGGGAAUAUUGGACAAUGGGCGAGAGCCUGAUCCAGCAAUACCGCGUGGGUGAAGAAGGACUUCGGGUUGUAAAGCCCUUUUGUUGGGAAAGAAAAGCAGCAGGUUAAUACCCCGCUGUUCUGACGGUACCCAAAGAAUAAGCACCGGCUAACUUCGUG
rnacentral:rRNA from 1 species